UUCUCUUGUGGGCAUUUAGUGCUAUAAAAUUCCCUCUACACACUGCUUUAAAUGUGUCCCAGGGAUUCUGAUAUGUUGUGCUGAGGACAGAUCUUAAAUGGAUUUUUGGAGCCAGGAGAGGGAAUAGGAGCUUGCUCCAUCUGCUCCACUCACUGACUUGAUAUUGCAGUACCUCCAGGUAUGGUGCAUUCCCC
ensembl:snRNA U2 U2 spliceosomal RNA